CGAACCCAAAUUCACCCGUUUACUGGUCAUUUGGACGUUGUAGAGGAUGUUAAACCGAGCGCGUGCAUAUGUGGUUCGUAAAAAUCGGAGCUCGUAUGCGAAAGUUAUAGGCGAAAAAGGAAAAGUUACUGUUCAAGGUAAGUUUCUAUAUAAAGGGAAAAUCACUGUGGUAAGUUUCCAAUUGGAAACUUACCGGGCUCCCUCUCUCUCCUCUCCCCCGAUCUCUCCUCCUCCGGUUCGGGGGAUUUUUGAAUUUCCGGCCUAAUUUCCGAUUCCGGCCACCUGACGGCGUGCCACUGGUCAUUCUGGGACCGCCUCUUCCUUCCCUACACGCUGGUACCCUG